UCAGAACCAAACACAGAACAAG
rnacentral:miRNA from 1 species